GUGGAGCAUGUGGUUUAAUUUGAAGAUACACGGAAAACCUUACCCACUCUUGACAUCCUUCGCAAAGCUAUAGAGAUAUAGUGGAGGUUAUCGGAGUGACAGAUGGUGCAUGGUUGUCGUCAGCUCGUGUCGUGAGAUGUUUGGUCAAGUCCUGCAACGAGCGCAACCCCUAUCUUUAGUUACUAACAUUAAGUUGAGGACUCUAGAGAUACUGCCUGGGUAACUGGGAGGAAGGUGGGGAUGACGUCAAAUCAUCAUGCCUCUUACGAGUGGGGCCACACACGUGCUACAAUGGUCGGUACAAAGAGAAGCAAUAUGGCGACAUGGAGCAAAUCUCAAAAAGCCGAUCUCAGUUCGGAUUGGAGUCUGCAAUUCGACUCCAUGAAGUCGGAAUCGCUAGUAAUCGCAGAUCAGCUAUGCUGCGGUGAAUACGUUCUCGGGUCUUGUACACCCCGCCCGUCCCACCAUGGGAGCUGGUAAUGCCCAAAGUCGGUUUGCUAACCUCGGAGGCGACCGCCUAAGGUAGGACUGGUGACUGGGGUGAAGUCGUAACAAGGUAUCCCUACGAGAACGUGGGGAUGGAUCACCUCCUUUCUACGGAG
rnacentral:rRNA from 1 species